rnacentral:lncRNA from 1 species
CCACAGUGGGCAACAGGCCAAGGUAAAGUGAUAGACAGCAUACUUUAAAGGUUUUAGAAUCCUCUCUGCAGAUUGAACUGAUCUGACGUGGGUUUGGGUUUGAUUAUGUUGUUGUACAGUAAUUUUUUUGUCACCAAGAUGGAAAGACACAACCCUGAGGUGCAACUUCACAACCCAUGCUUACAACAACCAAAGCAUCACUGAAGCAGUAUGCUCACAUUUGAACCCAUGAAGUCCAGUGGGGCAACAACCAAUCCAGCAUCUAGUAUAAAAACAUUGACUUUCUUCAUUUUGAACAGCAACUCCACUAGUUCAGUAAAACUUGAGUGAAAAUAUGUACUAGUUUUGGUUUGGAAAACACAACAUUAUCAAGGACUAAUGAAUUUCAUAUUAUUGCACAUCUACAGACCUGGAGAAAGUAUAAUGUUGAUUUGGUCACCUUUUACCCAACCACCACCAAAAACUUGUGUUUUUCCACCAUGACACAUGACUCCACAUGAUAUGCCUGAAAAUGAGAACAAAUGGUGGUUUGUUUACAAAUAAUACUGUAAUACUUUUGUUAAGUAUAAGUAGAAACAGCCUUCAUGUUGGGGCAUUAUGCUUUACUUACAUUAAUCGCUUUUGUCAGGCACUAUUAUUAGAUACACGUAAUCAUGCAGCUCAUUUCCUGAAUUUUUAUUCAGAUUACACCCACAGCUCCCUUCCUUUAUCAAACUUCUUUUUUUAUCAAGAUUAAUUUACGUAGUAGUAAUAAGAUAAAGUUCCUGUUUAAAAAGUUAACCAUUAUCAUGCCAGUAGACACAGGUUUAAGGACACGCCAGCCUUGUAACUGCAUGACCAGUUAUCACCAGCCUUUAUGUUAACCUACUGGCAGAACAACUAACAGUGAAUGUAGGACAGCAAGUAAAAAAAGGCUGUGAAAUUAAAUGAAGCACCGAAUACUCACAAUUAUGCUUUUACUACAGUUUACAGAAUCAUAAAUCAUUAAUCUAAAACUUUAUGCUUUCUAGACUUUACAGAUGCUGUAUUAAUACAAACAAUGUGAUCCCAACCCUUCCAUUUGCAUGAGGCAUGUGGGUUAAAGCGGAAAAGACUGAAUUGCAUGUCUGCAGGUCUCUCCCUUUUUUUUUUUUGGUUCACUCAGAUUCAUUGCCAUUGUCUAUGCUGCUGUCCAUACUGGAUUCAUAUUCAGCAGGAAGAAUGCUCAGCCCUUUUUCGUGGCAUGCACAAAGGAAAGACCUCAGGCUGGACCAAGAUGACCUUCUGAAGCUUGAAAAUUCCUGCUUUAUCACAGUUUUAACCCUUUGGGUACAGGCUUUUCUUUGCUUUUACGGGUAUUUUCAUUUUAUACACAAAUACUCUUCACUCAAAGCACAUAAGAGCACCAGAGCAUUGAAAUCUCACAGGUCAAAAGAGAGGUAUUUUAGCAAAUAGCCAUGUCAACCACACAUGGCCCACUCUUGUGUUGGUUGUUCAUCUAUCAGGAUUUUAAUGCUUUUACACAAUUGUUUUUUGAUCUUCCUAUAUGUUUAAAAUGAACAUGUAAAGAUUGUUUAUCAUUAAACACAUUAUAUAUUUUAAUGGACUUGACUUAUACAGCUUUUUCUGGUAUUAUGAUAAUUCAAAUCACUUUUACAUAAUCUCGGAUGCUUGCAGAAAAUGUCUUCUGGUUGCAUCUAGUACAAGGUAAACUUUUCCUCCCUUUUAUCUCUUCAGUGAUCCUCUUACAUGUUGAAGGUUGUGUUGGUUGUGCUUGCAUUUGCUGUAAAGUCUUAUGAAGCUAAAUCUGCAGCAUCCUUUCAGGCAUUCCUGGCAGGAACCGUUGCUGAAAAUGAUGGCAUGGGAACACCGUUGCAAGCAAAAACAAUUGCACGCUUUUGCUCCAAACUAAAUAUAUUAAAAAUUAUAAAAACAAAUUCAGUCACUCUCUCCACUGUCCGAAUCUGUAUGCAAUCAAUUCCCAAGUCCAGUAAAGUCUGAGUCAUUAGUGCUUAAGUCCAGGCUGAGUCACAAGUCCUAAAAAGGACUCAGUUGACUCCACUUCAGGUCCUGAGCCUAAGCCCUAAAGCACAGACCCAUUCACCCAGUCAUAGACAUAUUUAUACAACUUUUAUAGGCUUUCAUAUAAGUACCGAUUAAUGCUUAAUUAUCCCAUUCAUACACAAACACUACUGGUUGUGCCACUUAGGAGCUAUUUUCAAUUAAAAUCAGCGUCCUCCCCAGAUGUGAUUGAAGAAUGGCAACCUUUGAACUGAAGACGCUUCCAUUGAGCUUCUGCUGCCAGAAACACAGUCAAAGAAACAAAAGAAAACAUCACCAUAACACAGUAAAACAAUAGUUUGUGAAAUGCAUACUGUUCAUGAUUUGGCCUUGAAUUUUUUUUUUGUUUUCUGUUUUUUUAACUAUCUUCACAUAUUACAGUUUGACUGUUAAAGGAAAGUCAGACCUGGAGACUACUUAAAGAUCACAGUCACUCUCUUCCACUUCUCACUGUGGGAUUUCAAAUAGAAAAUGGAAAAGCUGAUCCCAUACCAGCUUCAAAAGUCAUGUUCAUCCUCCACUCCAUCUGCCCUCUGGCUUCAGCUCAUCUCCACCUGCUGACCGAUCCACAUUCCUUUGUUACCUGUAAUAUCCUGAUGGAUCAUUUUGAACAGCAACUCUCUCUCCUGCCCUCCAUCUCUAUGUUUUUCAUUCCCUUUGCAUGUGACUACAGCUGUGUUUUAACAGGAAUACCCUCUACAUUUCUGGUUAUUACAGUGUCAGUUCAAAUUUCCUUUAGUCCACUCUCUUUCCUGUUUACAUAUUGUUCCGGUUCUUUUUUCUGAAUGAUGGAAAACGGAUGCUGAGUAUUUAUUUAUCUCUUUUUACCUUAAGUGUUGCACUGUUAUCCCUGGCCUUGUUUUGGAUGUGUUUAUAAUGUUUCCUGCAUAAACCUCUGGUACAGCAUGUGACAAAGCAUUUUAAUAUUAUUAACCAUUUUUGGUAAUAAAAGGAGUUCCACAGGGUUCAUGUGUAGGCCCAGUCCUUUUCACUGUUACCAUCAUAACCAUUAUAAGCUAUUUUGCUAACAGUCGAGUAAAACUGUAUGCAGAUGACACUGCGCUAUUUUUUUCUGUGAAAAUAAUAAUCUUGAGUGCUACAUUAAUUUAAAGCACUUAUUUAUAUUUAGAAACAAAUUUGUGAUGUCUAACACAAACUACAGUAUAAAACUAUUAUUCUCAAUUUUUUAAUUAGAGCCAUUAUCAAGAGGCAUCAGUAUGAGUUUCUUUCUUUUAAUAGCCAGCCUAUGCUUUCCCGUUUUCACAACCAUGUUUUGUUUUUUUUGUUUUUUUAACUUAACUUUAACUUAUCUAUUGUGUUGGUUAAUUGAGUCUAUAUAUAAGACUGCAGCACUGAUUAUCUGGGAAAUGUCACCGACUGGAGUAUGUUGAACCCUUGCUGUUUCACUUGCAAUGCUAAUCAAUGCAUUUGGACCUGUCCUCUUUUUCUCUACAACUUAACAUGCUGGUAUGAAAUUUCCUGCUCAUUGAGAAAAAAUAGUAUAGAUAAGAUUCAUAAAAGCCACAGAUUUCAGAACAAGGUGAAAAACCUCCAAUAUUGGUAAGUGACCUCAGUUUACCCCUACAACUCUGAUCCCACUUUGCCUGAAGCGUCAAUGUUAUAAAAUAAAUAUUGUUUACAUUUAUUUAUUAAAUUGAUUCAUUGCCAGAAAUGUGCCACCAGAUUCACGUGUAGCACACAGACAAACAAUGGUCAAACAUUAAUGAAGGCUCUGCUGUAUCUAGAAAAUGACUGGGUGGAAAUGAUGCAAUCAGGAUGCAAAGACAGAAACCUCCCAUACAAUGAAAGUGAGGUCACAAAAACAAAUCAAAGUGAGUGAGAUUUCACAGAAAAGUCACUUGAGGAUAAUUCAUUGUCUUUUUUUUUUAGUUGUUAAAAUUGUGCCGUUUCACAUUUUUAAAGGAGGAAAUUGUUAUGGAUGUUUAAAUGUCCAUAAUGUAACAGAAGCUAUGAAAAAACCUGAGGCAAGGAGGAACUCCUUAAAAUGAAUGAAUAAAUGAAUAUAAUGAUGGAGCAAGCAGUUCUCUGGCUGCAGAACAAGUAGUCUGGAUUAAUUUGUGCUCCAAACAAAUGCACUGAUCAUUUUAGCAGAAGGUGCACACACCCCCCUUCCCCCUCCCUGACCUCUUGUUGAAUACAGUAAACAGGCAGUCUCCAGGAAGUCUAAAGUGCUUUCCUUUUUUCCAUUCAGCUUCACGACUCUUGUAGUUGUUUGUGUUUAACUGAAUUGUAAAAGCCUUACAGAAGUACUUGGCAGACGCUAGGAACACUGGAAAAUGUGUAUUAAAAGGAUUAGCUAGAGAAAUUGUUGGGAUUUCAGAGGAAAAUUGUACAAGAAGUUUAACCAUGUAGAUAAGAGGAAAAGAAAAAUAACUUUAUUUAUCCACGAAGGAAAAUUCAAUUGUCUUUAGUCUCAUAAAGAAAAAAAAGAAGCAUGUAUAAAUAUUUCACCUCAUUUUCAAAGACUUUGCAGCGUUUGUUUACCAUAUAAAACACUCAUGGGUUGAUAGAAUGAUAGAUGUGGUAAAUCUCCCAAAAUAAUGGAGUGUAUUUUAAACAUACACAUACAGCUGGUUUUAUACUGACCCAGUUGUUAUACUCUGUUAAAGAUAGUUGAGUAGCCAUAUGUCUUUAAAGAUUUGCUUCAGAGAUAACUUUUCUCUAAGUUAAAAACUUGCCUGGGUCAGUAUUUCAAGAUAUUACUAUGCUGGUUUUUCUAACAUCCUUCAAAAGUACAACCCUCUGUGUACAACAGUCUGUGAAUUAUUGAAAUCCCUUUGAAGACAGUGUAAAGACAGCAUAGUAAGUUUUGAAACUGAAGAAAAAAAAAACUCUUAACAACUCUGCAAACCAGUUGAGAGCCUCCUUUGUCAUUUUUUUAAAAUUCGUUGAUGCUUCAAGUGUUUUCAAUCAGUAACAAAUUGGGAUUGUAGGAGGGCCAGUUUAGCACAAGGACUCCUCUACGAGCAUGCCACACUGUUGUAGUAUGUACAGAAUGUGAUUUGGUAAUAUGUGCAAGGUCAUUUCUAAAAAAAAAAAACAUUGUCGUGAUGGCUGCAUAUAUUGUUUGGAAUAGGACUAUAAACAGUUGUAUCAUCUGCAUAUAAGCAUGUCCCUGCCGGUUGAUUUUUAUCUGUCUUCAUGAUAGACUGACAGCUCUUACGACUAAAUUUUUCACUCAUUUUAAAUACAUUUGUUUUCAUUUGUGGCAUCUUGUGGGAAUUGCUUUUGUGCGGGUCUUUGCAUAAUGCUGUUAUCACACCACCUAAAAGUUCAGAUCAAGGUCAGAUCAAAUGAGGAAAUUAAUAACAACUACUAUUCUGUAAAACAGAGGACAGUCAACUCUUAGGAAGGGCUCAGUGAUUAGGUUGGAGGGUAAGUAAGUCAUCCAAAGUCCCAACUGGAUAGACAAAUGUUGUAUCUCUUGGAGUAAAUACAUUCAACAGUUAAAUGCUCUGUUUAUAGUAAAAUAAACUAGGUGAAGAGGUAAAUGAUGAUGCGUACCUUAUUUGUGCUGGUUUAAAUAAGUACAAAGAACUAAGAACCCUUUCUAUUUAUUGUAGCUUAUCAGCUUAUGUGUUUCCUGGAAAAAGAAAAAAAAAAGACACAAACACAGAUCAAACAUUGAUUAACCCUUUGAUGCGCAACAUGGGUCAAAAAAGACUUGGCUGAGUUUAAAUUUUAUAUAUCUUCUCAAAAAAUUAAUUCCAUCAGUCGGUACUCAAGGAAUUCCUCAAUUAACUUGUUUUUGACGACCCUACAUCCUUAUGUUAAUUUUUCUUUUUUUACUUUUAGAAUAAAAACCGUUUUUGUAUCACUACCCCUCUAAUGCACAACAUGGGUCUAAAAUGACCCGUAUCCAUUUUCAAUGUUAUUUCAUGUAUGGCUGAGUGUUUCUAUGGUAUAUCUUUGACAUAAAUUAAUUUUAUCAUUCACUAUUCCAAGUAUGCAGUAAAGAUCUUGUUUUAGUUGAGCACAAAUAAUCAUUUUUAUUUUUCCUUUCUUACGUUAUGAGGAAGCACAGAUUUUGUAUUUCUACAUCAAGUUUACAUACAUGGGUCAGAAACGACCCACAUACAGUGACUGUAGCAUUUAGCAUGAAAAGACCGUCUAAUACAUGUAAGUAUGGUUUUUCAAUUGUUCUGACAUUAUCUUAGAAAUUAUUGGAUGACAAUUGUGAAAUAUAAUUGUACAUAGAUUUGAUUUGAUUAGGUUUAGGUUACCUUGAGAGUGAGGACAUUACAUGUUGGAAAGUUACACAAUUACAGGUAAAACAGCUAGUGUUAUUUCAGCUAGCUAUAAUCAGACGCAUGUGUAUGUGACAAAAUGACAAAUAAACAUGUUGCUAAUACAAAAUACAAAAGUGUUUGGCCCAUAGACUGUAUAAAGAAUGGACAGAGUCUGCCUCCUCGCUGGGUGAAGCCGAGAACAGCACCCCCUGUUUACAGGCUGCAGUACAGGUCAUAAAUCCCGCCUCCGCCAGCAAACCUUAUGGAGCUGUGGAAAAACUUUAGAAAUUUAUUACACAGAACAUAACCCCCCCCCCCCGCUUGUGAUGUUGACAUGUAGUUAUUGA